UGGAAGCUAAACAGGAAAUAACAAAAUAAAACUGGAAAUUGAGCAAAACAUGAUUCUGGAGCUGCAUUCCCAUUACAAAAAAAUGUAUACUAAAUGUCAAGUAUACUGAAGUAUAUCUUCAUCUUUCUAAAGUAUACUUUGCAGAGUAAGUAGACUUAUGUGAAUCUAGUUUUAGAUUCUAGUAUUCUAGUAUCCUUAUGAGUUUACUCAUUUAAUACUUCUUGGGACUAAAUUGUCCCACUUUUUGUCAGGAACGGCAGAUGAAGGACCCACAUGCACAGCACAAUACACGAUUUUCUGGCGUUAAAGAGUGUGGUUUAUUCCAGUAAGCGGAGUAAAGUCCAGGCAGGGUCAUACACAGGUGAUCAGACGGGUUACAUGGGAUUAGGCAGAGACGUAGUCAGGAGCAGACACAGAUCAUAACCGGGAGGUGAGUACGAUACCAAACAUCAGGCGUAGAAGCGUGGUCAGGCAGGCAAUGGUCGGCAACAGGCAGGAGUAACAAGGUCGAGCAUCAAAAAAACCAGGAAACACGAAGACACGGCAGGAACAAUGAAACUGGGUAAGCACGACGACACACGAACAACGAUCUGGCAAGGGACUAAGGACACUGGUGGUGGUUAAAUACAACGUGGCUUGAUUACUGAUACGGUGCAGGUGCGGAUAACGACCAGGUGAAGCAGGCGCAGCUGUGACAAGAACAAAAACCGGAAGUAAAGUUCAAGCAGAAACAGAAACCAGGAGACUACCAAAAUAAAACCGGAAACAACUAGACACAAAACCCAGAUCGUGACACUUUUCAGCCCUCAAUGUAUGAAAAGUAAACUUUAAAGGAGUCAUAUCAUGCUUUUCAUUCUAAAAAAUAUUAGACUUUAAUGUCUCAGUAAGGUCUCUGUAAAUUUUCAUCCCAUAAAACCCUUUAGAUCGUCCACACUGCCCCUGUCAAUGUGUGGUUUUCACUCUCCAUCAGCAAACGCUGUGUUUUCUGGGCGUGUCGCAAGCGAAGCUGCUCACCACACCUCUGUGCGGAAGCGCAUACCUUUUUUGUUGUUGUUUUUUUUUUUAAACUGGCUCCAUGGAUACGAGCCACCGCACGGUUAGGAUACAAUAGGUGGCAGUAGUGCGACAUUGAGAAUGCAAUCCACCGCCAUCCUCCACAGAAGAAGACCCACUACAGAGCUGCCCGACAUUAGUCAGUUGUUUCGUAGCGUAGUAGAACCAUACGUCUACGAUCCCGAAUCUGACCCUGAAGCUGAAGAGGAGGCUGUUGAAGUCACCACAUUUCGGCUGAUGCAAGAUGUGUCUCAUUGUUGUUACAGGUAUCUAGUCUACAGAGGCUAGUGAGCUGGUGCUGAGGAUUCCUGGGUUGAAGAAUCUGAGUUGCCAUCUCUUCAUGCUUGGGUUGUAGAUGAAGGCAGUUUCCUGAUGGAUAAAACACUAAAACACUCAUAGUAUGAUUGAUGUAGACCAACUGUAGAAUAACUCCUUUACCGUUUGAGUAAAAAUGUGUUUUUUGUGAGUGCAACACUCAUUAAGAAUUUUUUUAACUUUAUUUAUAUAUAAUUUAUAUGCGUUUUAUUUAUGGCCGCUUCAACUUUAUAGCUUACCAUAUUAGAAAGAGAAAAACAUGUAAU